UGCCAGCCGCCGCGGUAAUACGAAGGUCCCAAGCGUUGUUCGGAAUCACUGGGCGUAAAGCGUACGUAGGCGGAUUAAUAAGUUAGAGGUGAAAUCCCAGGGCUCAACCCUGGAACUGCCUUUAAAACUGUUAGUCUUGAGAUCGAGAGAGGUGAGUGGAAUUCCUAGUGUAGAGGUGAAAUUCGUAGAUAUUAGGAGGAACACCAGUGGCGAAGGCGACUCUCUGGGCCAAUACUGACGCUGAGGUUCGAAAGCAUGGGUAGCAAACAGGAUUAGAUA
rnacentral:rRNA from 1 species